AACGAACGCUGGCGGCAGGCCUAACACAUGCAAGUCGCAGGAGAAGCACCCUUCGGGGUGUGGAGACUGGCGCACGGGUGAGUAACGCGUGGGAUCUGCCCUGGGGUGGGGAAUAACCGCUGGAAACGGCGGCUAAUACCGCAUACGCCCUUUGGGGGAAAACUCCGGUGCCCUGGGAGGAGCCCGCGUUAGAUUAGCUUGUUGGUGGGGUAAAAGCCUAACCAAGGCGACGAUCUAUAGCUGGUCUGAGAGGAUGAUCAGCCACACUGGGACUGAGACACGGCCCAGACUCCUACGGGAGGCAGCAGU
rnacentral:rRNA from 1 species